rnacentral:rRNA from 1 species
UUCCCCUAGUAACUGCGAGUGAAGCGGGAAAAGCUCAAAUUUAAAAUCUGGCGGUCUUUGGCCGUCCGAGUUGUAGUCUGGAGAAGUGCUUUCCGCGCUGGACCGUGUAUAAGUCUCUUGGAACAGAGCGUCAUAGAGGGUGAGAAUCCCGUCUUUGACACGGACUACCAGUGCUUUGUGAUGCGCUCUCAAAGAGUCGAGUUGUUUGGGAAUGCAGCUCAAAAUGGGUGGUGAAUUCCAUCUAAAGCUAAAUAUUGGCGAGAGACCGAUAGCGAACAAGUACCGUGAGGGAAAGAUGAAAAGCACUUUGGAAAGAGAGUUAAACAGUACGUGAAAUUGCUGAAAGGGAAACGCUUGAAGUCAGUCGCGUUGUCCGGAACUCAGCCUUGCUUUCGCUUGGUGCACUUUCCGGAUGACGGGUCAGCAUCGAUUUUGACCGUCGGAAAAGGGCUGGAGUAAUGUGGCACCUCCGGGUGUGUUAUAGACUCUGGUCGCAUACGACGGUUGGGAUCGAGGAACGCAGCGCGCCGCAAGGCAGGGGUUCGCCCACUUUCGCGCUUAGGAUGCUGGCAUAAUGGCUUUAAACGACCCGUCUUGAAACACGGACCAAGGAGUCUAACAUACCUGCGAGUGUUUGGGUGGAAAACCCGAGCGCGUAAUGAAAGUGAAAGUUGAGAUCCCUGUCGUGGGGAGCAUCGACGCCCGGACCUGACGUUCUCUGACGGAUCCGCGGUAGAGCAUGUAUGUUGGGACCCGAAAGAUGGUGAACUAUGCCUGAAUAGGGUGAAGCCAGAGGAAACUCUGGUGGAGGCUCGUAGCGAUUCUGACGUGCAAAUCGAUCGUCAAAUUUGGG